GACGAACGCUGGCGGCGUGCUUAACACAUGCAAGUCGAACGAUGAAGCAAAGAAUUUAAGCUUCGGCCGAAAUUCAUUUCGGAUUAGUGGCAGACGGGAGAGUAACCCUUGAGCAACCUACCUCUUACAAAAGGAUAGCCUCGGGAAACCGGGAUUAAUACCAUCUAACAUUGCGAUGAAGCAUUUCGAUGCAAUCAAAGCUACGGCGGUAAGAGAUGGGCUCGAGUCCCAUUAACCGGGUGGUGAGGUAACGGAUCACCAUAGUGGAGAGGGGUAACCGGACUGGGAGCGUGAACAGUAACACUGGGACAGGGACACGUACCAGACUCCUAGGAGAGGCAGCAAUGGGGAAUAAUGCACAAUGGGGGGGACACUGAGGCAGCGAGGCCGCGAGAGUGAUGAAGGAGUUCGUAACGUAAAUCUCUGUUCUAUGGGAAGAAAUGAAGGGAACCAUAGAAGAAGGCACGGGCUAAUUAGGG
rnacentral:rRNA from 1 species